AGGACGAACGCUGGCGGCGUGCUUAACACAUGCAAGUCGAACGGUGACGGAGGAGCUUGCUCCCCCCGAUCAGUGGCGAACGGGUGAGUAACACGUGAGUAACCUGCCCCAGACUCUGGGAUAACAUCGGGAAACCGGUGCUAAUACCGGAUAUGAGACGAGAUUGCAUGAUCAUCGUCUGGAAAGUAUUUAUCGGUCUGGGAUGGACUCGCGGCCUAUCAGCUAGUUGGUGAGGUAAUGGCUCACCAAGGCGACGACGGGUA
rnacentral:rRNA from 1 species